rnacentral:rRNA from 1 species
AUUGAACGCUGGCGGAAUGCUUUACACAUGCAAGUCGAGCGGCAGCACGGGGGCAACCCUGGUGGCGAGCGGCGAACGGGUGAGUAAUACAUCGGAACAUGCCCAGUCGUGGGGGAUAACACUUCGAAAGAAGUGCUAAUACCGCAUACGUCCUGAGGGAGAAAGCGGGGGAUCUUCGGACCUCGCGCGAUUGGAGUGGCCGAUGUCAGAUUAGCGAGUUGGUGGGGUAAAGGCCUACCAAGGCAACGAUCUGUAGCUGGUCUGAGAGGAUGAUCAGCCACACUGGGACUGAGACACGGCCCAGACUCCUACGGGAGGCAGCAGUGGGGAAUUUUGGACAAUGGGGGCAACCCUGAUCCAGCCAUUCCGCGUGAGUGAAGAAAGCCUUCGGGUUGUAAAGCUCUUUCGGCAGGAACGAAACGGCGAGCUCUAACAUAGCUUGCUAAUGACGGUACCUGAAGAAGAAGCACCGGCUAACUACGUGCCAGCAGCCGCAGUAAGAC